rnacentral:misc_RNA from 1 species
AAUUCUCAACCUUGCGAGUUUUGCUUGCGAGGCUUGGAUGUGAGGGUUUUUUGCUGGCUUCCAUUUGGUUGGAUGGUCUGCUCCCUUUAAAUUCAUUAGUGGGAUCCUUUGUGGAUGGUCACUUGGUGUGAUAAUUAUCUACGCCGCCUGACUCUGAAACAAGACUUGUGGGAACCUGCUUAUAACCGUCUCUUUCAGAGACAGCCUACAUUGACA